GAUGAACGCUGGCGGUAUGCUUAACACAUGCAAGUCGAACGGUGCCUUAGGGCAUAGUGGCGGACGGGUGAGUAACGCGUGAGAAUCUAGCUUCAGGUUCGGGACAACAUUGGGAAACCGAUGCUAAUACCGGAUGUGCCGUAAGGUGAAAGGCUUGCUGCCUGAAGAUGAGCUCGCGUCUGAUUAGCUAGUUGGUAGUGUAAGGGACUACCAAGGCGACGAUCAGUAGCUGGUCUGAGAGGAUGAUCAGCCACACUGGAACUGAGACACGGUCCAG
rnacentral:rRNA from 1 species